AGCAAAACACACACAGUGAAGACAGUAGACUGUGUGGCCUGGAUCUUAUUACUGAACUACAGGUAGACCACUGUUCUCACAGGGCUGGUGCAGAUGUGACUGGUCUCAUGUUGGAGAAGCAGCGAGCAGGGUAAGAACUGUGGGUACUGGUCAUCUGCGUCCACGAUCUGGAUGGAGACGUUGGCGGUGGUCUCGUAACUCUCUGCUGUGUU